GUCUCAUAGAAUCCAGUCUUGGAAAUAACCAACGGCAGUAGUACCAUAAUAAUAGAAAAAGUAGUACACCUCAAAUUUCCUAGUACUACUACAUGCAUGUACUGCAAGUUUGCAAAGUACAAACAUUCCCCUUUAUGCGAUUACAUAUAGAUUCACAAGGAAUCCAUUUUAUAUAUAAUUUGACAAACCAAAGUUUCAAUGGAAACGCAAUCUCAGCGAUUUUUACAUGAGUAAGAGAAGCUGCUUAAGGAAGAGAGACCUUUAUUUUGCAGUCAAAUGUGGAAAAUUACUUGAUGCAGAAGCAAUUUCAAUUGUGACACGGUUGCAGAGACUUCUAAAAAUUCUAUAUUGCAGAUGUAAUUAGGGUUGUAGAGGAUAAUUAAAUACUGAGCAAAAGUAUUGAUAGGACUCACGGGGCUGAUCGCGAUUCAACAAAUAUGUCAAUUAUCAUUUAUCUCAUUCUAGUUUCAAAUGCCUCUACAUUUUUACAGUAGGCUUAUUCUGUAACUUCUUGUACUACAUAGUACAUACCUAUUUUUAUGCUUAAGUGUGUGUUUGGAUCCGCUUUUGACCACCAAAUAUCACAUCUUAAUGCAAGUUACUUCAAAA